rnacentral:rRNA from 1 species
AACGAACGCUGGCGGCGUGGAUAAGACAUGCAAGUCGAACGGGAACUUCAGCUGUAGCAAUACAGUUGAAGUUUUAGUGGCGAACGGGUGCGCAACACGUGGGCAAUCUGCCGAGAAGUGGGGGAUAGCUCGCCGAAAGGCGAAUUAAUACCGCAUAUGAUCAGCUAAGACAUCUUAGCGACAUCAAAGCCGGGGCAACCUGGCGCUUUUUGAGGAGCCCGCGGCCUAUCAGCUAGUUGGUGAGGUAACGGCUCACCAAGGCUAUGACGGGUAGCUGGUCUGAGAGGACGACCAGUCACACUGGAACUGAGACACGGUCCAGACACCUACGGGUGGCAGCAGUCGAGAAUUUUUGACAA